GAAGUAAGUACUUAUGCCUUGUUGAGAGGCUUGGCUUUGAUUGCAUUCAGUAUUCAAGUGUCAACAAAGAUGGCUACUAGCAUCAUUGAAGGAUAUACUUUAGAAACUCAAUGUUAUUUCAAAUCUAGAAUGGUAGACUAGUGAAAAGGGUGGUCACAAGGCAUGAACACUAGGGGCCCUCAAGGUAACUAACCAAUACUGUUGUAGAUCCAGGCCCCUAAGAUUGCCUUGCCUACCUAUAAAUUGGGAGCAGCUAAAGUCAACUAGUUUCCAUCAUCUGCAACCUACUAAAUAUCAUCAACUCCAUCUUUUGGCUUCAAUUACUAUAAUGGCAGUGCAUCCAAUGACAACCAAUGACUUUAGCAAAUUUUGGAUCAUGUACCUCUGGUAUCAGGAGAAACCUUCAGAUAUUUCUUCAGGACAGAUAUUGCAUGUAGCCAGGUCGGUUUGUUUCAUUUUAUAUAUUAUAUCAUGUUAGGAGCCCAGAAACUGUCACUUUUUAACCACCCUAGAGCCAUUAUGGCUUUUAUACAAGUUAUGCCAACCUUGUAGCCAGGUUGCCAUUAUGAUAACUCGUUAUGUUAUGUAUAGUGUUGUUUAUGGUCAUUCACCGCAAUAGACGAUCAUGAUACGAUCCUGCUCCAACCUGUAUAUAGUAAAUUGUAUCUGCGUGAAAAUUUGGCCUCGUGUUUUCCCUUUUUAAUCUUAUAAUAGACUAUACUUUAGCUAGCCAGAAAAACUUCUUUUUUCCACAUCCAAAAUAAAAUUUGCAGGCUUGUUUUCGUAAGUUAUUGGUGAAUAUAAUUGCUUUGGGGGCAAUAUUCAGGCUAUAAAUUUGGAGAAACUAUAUUCUGUAAAAGACAUGCAAAACGGUAUCUAUUACUAAUAAAAAUUUUGAUAUUUAAUCUAUUUGAAACAUUUAAUCACAUGGAAAAGGAGAAAUAUAGAUAAAUAAGCAACAACAACAAAACAAACUGCAUUGUAAAUAGGCUUUAUUUGUAUUAUUAGAUCAUAGUACACCAUAAACAACAACAGAUAAAUAAAAUAAAAAUAGCAAAAUUAUAUCAUGAUUUUGCACAAGUAAAGGCCGCUAUAUAAAAUUUGGUUUUUACGCAGCAAUAGCUAAUUAAAAACAACACAACCUACCACAACAAGUGAAUGACCACUGAUUUAGCACAACAUUCAGUCAAAAAUAUGUAGCCCUUAUUGGCUAAGACUCUAAAAUGUUGAAUCAAACUUGGAAAUACCUAGCUGUUAUGCGAUAAACACUAACUACUUAAAAAAUUUUAACAAAACAAAUCAUUUAAAAACAGAUAUCGUUAACUACAUUUACACAUUUUGUGUCAAUCAGGAUAGCGCUGUAUGUGUAUAUAUGCUAAGUCAUUUCGUUAUGUUGGUAGAACCACAAACAUUUUCCAUGCCUGUCAGCAUAACUUCUUUAGUGAAAUGUGAAAAACUUUCGUCAUUUCACCCAUUAAUUAAAACCAUGCUUUUUCCUAAUUUUUAUAAUUAACAUCGUUCCCAGGAAUUAUCUCGAUAUAAGAUUAGAGCUUUUAAACCAAUUAUCUUCAAGUCUUGUCGAAGUCAUUCUCCCAAAACUAGUCACGACUAGUGUUCUCGUCUGUGGCCUUGUGGCAUUUUGAGAAAUCGUUUAAAAAGUGUUUAUUGCCAGGAGCUUUGAAUCUACAAAUCAAACAUAAAAGUUGUUAUGCAGCUAUUCGAUUUAUUGUAUUGUUAUCAAAUGUCUUGUUACUUGUGGGUACCCCAAGACAACACAAGAACUUUGAGUUUGAGACAGGCCUUUUUAGAGUUGUUGAAAGUGAAACUAUAAACAGUUUCAUGCUCAAACUUGCUAGCACAGCAAUAGGAAGCUCAAGAAUCAAUGGAAUUAAAAGUAAACAGAUGUACCUGAAAACGUUUUCAUUAUAAAGUUAAUGCUAUAAUUUUGUUAACUCAAAAAAGUCUAUUUAUUUUGCCAAACUGCUUUCUUCUGCAAUCCCAGGCAACACAGAGCAUAAAUGUUUUCCAGUCAUGUUUCUUCUUAGCAACAUUGCUCAAUUUCAUUCCGCAAUCAUAUAUUCAAGCCUUCCAUUUACUUGCUGCAAGUCAAUACAAAACUUUCUUAGCCUUUAGACAUGUUGAAUCAUACCCUAUCCAACCGACCGGCUACCGGGAGGCAAUAACAAUAGGUAGAGUAAAUUAAUUUCAAUCUUUCUUUACUGUAAAUUUCGACGACUUCGGCGGGAUUCUUCUUGACGUCACAUAUUCUUUGUUUUACAAGAGUCCAAAAGUCCACACUUCGGCGCGAUUCUUCUUGUCGUCAAAAUUAUUUGUUUGUUUAAGAGGGUCAAAAGGCCACACUUCGGCUGCCGCCGAAGUCGACUAUUUUACGGCAGAAAACAAGGAAUCGCGCAACAAUCGGCAAAAAGCGGCAAAAUGUAGUUAAACUACCGUGAAACCAGAGAGUUGAGCCUCGUGAAACACUCCUGAGUAGUUUAGAUAAAUUUUAACUCGACUCCUGGGCGCAACGAACCUUUUCUCAUUGGCAAUUUCUACUUAGGCGAUCCUACCUCACUUUAAGUUGGUUUUUUUUAAUUUUUUUUUUGCAAUAUGUGUCCAGUCUUUAGGAUCAAUUUUAUAAACAUUUCACAUAGCUGUAUUUUGAAUGCUACUCAAAAUUGUUCGAUCAGGCUAUAUCUUUUGUGCAAUUUGGAAAUCUGGAAAUGCUUUUAUUGUCAGUGCCCUUAAUUUAGAAUGGUUGGGCAUAUAAAUACGGUUAUGCUUCCGAUUGUAUUCCCUUUAUAUUAGGCAUUUAAAUAAGUGUCAUUGUAGAGUGAUUAAGUACAGUACAGUCUGAAUGUAAUCUACCGCGUACACGCUAAUAUCACACCUUUGCGUGGAGGACGGCAGUCGUUUGUCUUUUGUUAUAAUUAAAUCCCUUUGAGUUUAUAUUUGCGUGUUAAAAAACAAUGCGCUCGUGAAGAAAUAUUGGAGCAAAUAAUAAAAAUCUUUCGCGAAGUUUUAUAAUACAUUGCGCGGGAAUGUAUUGUUGAUUUAAGCGCGUUUCAUCUAAGAAACAUUCGAGAAGCAUUGUUCACAACUAUUAAAUACCGCUUUUCGUUUAAAAAAUUCUAUCGCCUCUUUUCGAUUUUAAACUUUAAAACACGAUCUAAAAAAGCAUUUCUAUCGCCGCUAUUCGUUAAAACUUUUAAAAUUUCCAGGGAGAAAUUUGAAAACUAAUGAAUGACAAAAUCCCAAAAAGUUUAUCUUCAAAUUUUUAAUUUUGUUAAUGUAAAAGUAAUCCACAUGAAAAAAGUUUCUGAUGUUUUUUAUGAAGAAUCUUCCAUAUUAGCCAUUAUACAUUUGCCCUAGAGUGAUUAAUAAAUAAGGUCAGGCUUCUAUUUUCAGAACUGCUAUUUACAUUUAACAUCAAGGCAUCCAAAACAGCUCCAUUUAGGAAAGGGCUAAGGCUGGCCCAUUGUUCGUUUUAUCAAAUGGGGAUUUUAUUACCCGAAUUGUAAAAGGCUAAUUUAUAGGCACUUGCAUGUAUUUUUUUUUCAUGUCUAUUUGUUAAGCCUGUUAUGGCAUGUUGAAUUAUCUCGUCGUAGUUCUCGUCAAAAAUAUUGCCUGAUAAAUAAUGAAUUUUCAUUUGGGGAAUUGGGGGUGCUGGGCUGCCCUGGGUAGCUACAAAGUGUAGAGAUGUGCGUGUACCCCUGGAAGAGUAUGGUGAAUUAAGUAUAGGUGCGAGGAGAUGAACGACGGUGCACCACGCGAGCAGGACAGAUGACUUGGGAAAUAACAGCAGAGGGAUGCGGCGCUGACAGUCAGAGGUGGUGCACAAAGAGGUUAAUAACAGGUGUGAAAUGCAAAAGAAGCUAGAGCUCAUAAAGAGUAGGUUCUUGUGAGGUAUGAUAGAGGAAAUGGAAUCACAGGAGAGGAGCUCCGGAUGUGAUUGAGAGAUUAGUUAAGCCAGAAAACACUACUAGGAGAAAAGCUCCGGAUGUAGUGGAGAAGAGCGAAUUUAUUGGGAACACGCACGUGAGCUUGAGACAAUAUCUUCUCUUCAGCCUAGCAUCCUCACCCGAUUCCGCCAAAUUAUCCUCAGUUUAUUCUUGCCACUAACAAUUGAUAGUGCUAUUACUGCUAUAACUCUAAAUUAAAGUACAAUCCUUAUUCAUUGAUUUUGUAUUAUUGACGGCAAUUGUAGUUAUUAUUUGUCAAUUUAAAGUUGUGUAUUAUCAGAUUUUGAAAGUUACUUAAUAACAUGAUGGAUUGCAAAAUUGUCUCCUUUAAAAAAUCCAGUUUGGGGUAAAUUGGGGAUGUCGGGCUUCCUUCGUCAGCCAAAUGGGAUGAAGAUGCGUUUGUUUCCCUAACAAAUGAGGUGCGUUUCCACGAGAUACGCCAUAGCAGGUAGUAGGCAAUUUCCAAGCGAGUUGCUGAGGUGUAGGCGAUUUCCAAGUGAGUCGCGGAGAUGUAGGCAAUUUCCAAGCGAGUUGCUGAGGUGUAGGCGAUUUCCAAGUGAGUCGCGGAGAGGUAGGCAAUUUCCAAGCGAGUUGCUGAGGUGUAGGCGAUUUCCAAGUGAGUCGCUCAGAUGUAGGCAAUUUCCAAGCGAGUUGCUGAGUUAGCGUUUCCACGAGAUACGCAGACGUUUCCACGAGAUACGUCUUACUAAGGGUAAGGAUGGAAACACACGCAUCUGGUUUGGGCCCCCCUGAUACCAAACCUGACAUCCCCCCCCUUUCCCCAAACUCAAGUGUAGUUAUGACAUGAAACAAGAGAAAUAUACUUCUAACAUUAUCUGUCAUUGUUGUUGUUUGCUUUCGUGUUGUUGCUUCAGAACCAUAGCAAUUAAAUGGUGGUGGACCAACAGUUCACCACAUGUUAAUUGCGGUUCCUGAAGUAAGUACUUAUGCCUUGUUGAGAGGCUUGGCUUUGAUUGCAUUCAGUAUUUCAAGUGUCAACAAAGAUGGCUACUAGCAUCAUUGAAGGAUAUACUUUAGAAACUCAAUGUUAUUUCAAAUCUAGAAUGGUAGACUAGUGAAAAGGGUGGUCACAAGGCAUGAACACUAGGGGCCCUCAAGGUAACUAACCAAUACUGUUGUAGAUCCAGGCCCCUAAGAUUGCCUUGCCUACCUAUAAAUUGGGAGCAGCUAAAGUCAACUAGUUUCCAUCAUCACAUUUUGCUUAUAGUUUGGUUUGCCCACCCACCCACCCUGUUAUUAUAUAUUUUUUCUUUUUCUUUUAUGUACAUCAAUCACUUCAUGUACUGGCAUCAAUGUCCACAACUGUCACCAUAUUAACUAAUUCUACAAUCAACCACAACCCUUAUGUUAACUCGAUAACCGGACCAUCAUCCGACACAUGAUGAGUGCAUACGAUACCAAUUGAUGUAGCCCCAGAGGGUCUUCUACAACGAACUAUAACACGCAACGAUACUACGAACUACAACACGCAACGAUCUACAACGCAAGAUGGAGGGAUCAAUUGGCAUCAAAGACGCGCGCUCGCUUACACCAGUGCUCUUGCCUCAAGGUUUUCUUGGUGAUCCAAAUUUCGGCUACUUGCGAUUGCCAAGUUUUUUGUCCAGAGGUAGAAGCACUGUUGACCCGCGCUGGUGGGGAUGUCGGGCUUCCUUCGUCAGCCAAAUGGGAUGAAGAUGCGUUUGUUUCCCUAACAAAUGAGGUGCGUUUCCACGAGAUACGCCAUAGCAGGUAGUAGGCAAUUUCCAAGCGAGUUGCUGAGGUGUAGGCGAUUUCCAAGUGAGUCGCGGAGAUGUAGGCAAUUUCCAAGCGAGUUGCUGAGGUGUAGGCGAUUUCCAAGUGAGUCGCGGAGAGGUAGGCAAUUUCCAAGCGAGUUGCUGAGGUGUAGGCGAUUUCCAAGUGAGUCGCUCAGAUGUAGGCAAUUUCCAAGCGAGUUGCUGAGUUAGCGUUUCCACGAGAUACGCAGACGUUUCCACGAGAUACGUCUUACUAAGGGUAAGGAUGGAAACACACGCAUCUGGUUUGGGCCCCCCUGAUACCAAACCUGACAUCCCCCCCCUUUCCCCAAACUCAAGUGUAGUUAUGACAUGAAACAAGAGAAAUAUACUUCUAACAUUA